AACGCGAAGAACCUUACCAGGCCUUGACAUCCUCUGACAAUCCUAGAGAUAGGACGUUUCCUUCGGGAACAGAGAGACAGGUGGUGCAUGGUUGUCGUCAGCUCGUGUCGUGAGAUGUUGGGUUAAGUCCCGCAACGAGCGCAACCCUUGCCUUUAGUUGCCAGCAUUGAGUUGGGCACUCUAAAGGGACUGCCGUAGACAAUACGGAGGAAGGUGGGGACGACGUCAAAUCAUCAUGCCCCUUAUGGCCUGGGCUACACACGUGCUACAAUGGGUUGGGACAAAGGGAAGCGAAGCCGCGAGGUGAAGCCAAUCCCAUAAAACAACCCCCAGUUCGGAUUGCAGGCUGAAACCCGCCUGCAUGAAGUUGGAGUUGCUAGUAAUCGCAGAUCAGAAUGCUGCGGUGAAUGCGUUCCCGGGUCUUGUACACACCG
rnacentral:rRNA from 1 species